rnacentral:rRNA from 1 species
GUACGGCGAGUGAGCGGCAAAAGCUCAAAUUUGAAAUCUGGUACCUUCGGUGCCCGAGUUGUAAUUUGGAGAGGGCAACUUUGGGGCCGUUCCUUGUCUAUGUUCCUUGGAACAGGACGUCAUAGAGGGUGAGAAUCCCGUGUGGCGAGGAGUGCGGUUCUUUGUAAAGUGCCUUCGAAGAGUCGAGUUGUUUGGGAAUGCAGCUCUAAGUGGGUGGUAAAUUCCAUCUAAAGCUAAAUAUUGGCGAGAGACCGAUAGCGAACAAGUACAGUGAUGGAAAGAUGAAAAGAACUUUGAAAAGAGAGUGAAAAAGUACGUGAAAUUGUUGAAAGGGAAGGGCAUUUGAUCAGACAUGGUGUUUUGUGCCCUCUGCUCCUUGUGGGUAGGGGAAUCUCGCAUUUCACUGGGCCAGCAUCAGUUUUGGUGGCAGGAUAAAUCCAUAGGAAUGUAGCUUGCCUCGGUAAGUAUUAUAGCCUGUGGGAAUACUGCCAGCUGGGACUGAGGACUGCGACGUAAGUCAAGGAUGCUGGCAUAAUGGUUAUAUGCCGCCCGUCUUGA